rnacentral:rRNA from 1 species
UACGUAGGGUGCAAGCGUUAAUCGGAAUUACUGGGCGUAAAGCGUGCGCAGGCGGUUUUGUAAGACAGUGGUGAAAAUCCCCGGGCGUCAACCUGGGAACGUGCGUUUGGUAACUACAAGACUAGAGUGUGUCAGAGGGGGUGGAAUUCCGCGUGUAGCAGUGAAAUGCGUAGAGAUGUGGAGGAACACCGAUGGCGAAGGCAGCCCCUCGGGUGAACAUGACGCUCAUGCACGAAAGCGUGGGGAGCAAACAGGAUUAGAAACCCCAGUAGU